CAGCAACAUCUAGCCAUAGCAACAUCAAGCAGCAACAACACCACCUGUACUUUAAACAUUAUUUGACCUGAUUUGCUGGAAGUUGCAGAUCUUGGACUAAAUAAGAACACCCCUUCCCAUGAGCAUUGAUCCAAAAUGCCACUCUCGCCAUAAUCAACUCACUGAAGUCAGCGAGGCAAAAAAGGUAUCCAGUGCGUCCCUCAUUGGUCGUCAUGUGAUGAUGUAAAUAGUCCAAGCUUUAACAACUUUUUUUUUUUGGUUAUUUUUUCUGGGUUUCCAAUUGUACCAUCAUGAAUUUGAUAUACCUAACAAACAAAGAAAGUGAUUCCAACUUUCAAAAAAUUAUAAAAUGGGACCUAUUUAAGCUUCCAAACAAUUUGUAAAAUGGGACUUUACAGAUUAACAAAGAUGUCAUGGGAACAAGUUAAUGCCAUGGGAUUUUCACUAAUUUUCCCUUAAAACAUGGAGAGGGAUGGAAAAGAUCACUUCGAAGAUUCAUUUCAAAAUUGACAUUAGAGAAUAGAAUUUUAAAUCCUAUUAUUUUCUCUUUUUUUCCGCCUCAUCCUUCCCUUUCCCUUUUUUGAGAUCAAAUUGGCUUUUAGCAAAUAGAAUUUUGGUAUUUGGUGCCACAGAACAUAACGUGCUACAUCUUAACUCUCAGUGUGCUUGUACUUGGAUUUUCUGUUAUUAAGUCAUUUGGACAUGUGCUUCCUUAAGUGUGCUAGGUUUUACCAAAAUGGUUUGAACUUUAAAGACCAAUUCUUGGUUUCAGUUUGAUUAAUGUUUCCUCAAAGAAUAGCUCCAGGAUAUUAAAAUUGUUGCCAACAUUAUCUUGGGAUUAUGUUCUGGUAAUUGAAUGUGCAUUUAAGUUAUAAGUUAUAAAAUUUAGUUUUGCGAAAAUUGCUGGACCUAGUUGUUGCAUGUGCAUGCUUCUAUGAUUUUGUGGCCUAGUAAUCUAGUUUGUCUUCUUUUUUUUCUGUCUUUUGGCUUGGUCAAGUGUCCUAUGCUUUCUCAUAUUACAUUUGUGUGAAAAGUUUAAGGAUCGUUUCUUCCCAAAUGAUUUUCUAGUAUUACUUGGCCUUCUUUUUUCCUUUUAUUUUUUCUGAGAAACUUAUCUUCUGAUGCGAGUUUCAACUUGUGCAAAACCCUUGGAUGUUUUAGAUGUAAGUAGUUUUACAAAAGCUCCUUGAGUUUAUGUUCUCCAAUUGUUGUCUGGUUCGUCUUCGGAGUUACCAGCUUAUUUGGUUUUGUUUUUUAUCUUAACCCCUAUAUUUUAUUGUUAUUAUUAUCAAGCAAAAAUUAAAUGAUGGAAAUAAGAAGUAGAUGUUCUUCAACACAUGAAAUUAGAGAAAACAUGAGACGAUAGUAACAGUCCCCAUCAAGUCAUUAGCUGCAACUAGUGUGUGCUUGUGUUAUUGCGUCAAUUGAAUAAAACUAAUCAGUACAUUGCUUUUAUUGCAUUCAUAGUAUAUAUCUCUCUCAAAUAAGGAGAGGGAUAUUGUUUUUAUUACUUUAAUGGGACCAAUGUAGUCUGAUAGGGUGACCUUUAUAACCCUUCACAAUACCAAUUCAUACUCCAAAAAUUGUGUGUGUGUGUGUGUGGUUAAAUUCCUUAUUCAAUAUGUUGUUGUUAGUGGUUUAUGCUAAUAUGUUUGCCUCUAUGUUGUUUCCAUAGAAAUAAGCUUGACAACUAAGCAGUGGUAAAUCUUCAAGAAGAAUGUACCUGCAAUAGAGAACGCUAUUCGAAAGAUGGAAUCAUGAUAAUAUAUAACAAUACACAAUGAGCGAAGGAAGCAACAAACCUUGCAUACACAAACAAUUUACACCAGCAUUCUUCUUCUACAACGAAGAUGAAAACAAAAGCAUGCAAGAAGCACAAAUAACAGUUACCGACACGGUUUGCACAUUGCCUACCUACCACAUACUGUUUGCAUAUUUUAUCUUAUCUUUAUCUUUUAUGUUCUACUUGCAUCACUUAUAUUUACUUUUGAGGCAAUGUAGAUGAAGAAGGACAUAUGAUAUCAAUGAAGAACCCAAUAGAAGAAAGAUAUGGAGUACAAAGAGAUGGACAGGUGGACUGUUGAUAAGCAAGCCAAGUUAGAAGGUCCCCUUCCCAUAAAACCAAGAAAGUGGCAUUUCCAAAUGUGAAUUGCCUUGAGAUCAAUUGUUAAAAUAAUAAAAAGAUUGAGCAUGGAACAACGUGAUGCAGUUGCUAGUAGUGGGUUAGGGGGCCUUUUGAAUCUCAGAUGUACAAAGCUUGAUUAUGACCUCUGCGGAUGGUUGGUUUAGAAAUUUGAUCCCAAAACUUGUUCGUUGAAUGUUCAUGGGCGACGACUCCUCUUUACUGAACUAGACGUUCACAAGUUAUUGGGUAUUCCUACCCGAAGGCAAAACCAUAGAACUGAAAAAAUCUUCACAAGCAUUUCCCAAGCUAUUUGAAGAACUUAGGGUUGUCCAAGGAGCUAUUAAACUAAAUGCUUUGCGAGAGUAUUUGACCAAAAUAGAGGGAGCUGGAGAGGAAUUUACAAGGAUAUUUGCACUAUACAUAUUAGGUGCCUUCUUAUGCCCAACCACAAAGGUUGUUGUUAAACAAUCAUUCAUUUACCUCGUUCAGAAUAUGGAUGGCAUGAAGGAUUAUAAUUGGGCAAAGUUCACUCUUCAAUUCUUUGUUCAUGGUUUAUGCAAGUACAAUUCAAAAGUCACUCACAACCAAAUGGAUGCUUAUUUCUUAUAAUGUUGUUUUACUUUGAUCGUGUUGCUCCUACUGGUUGUGAUGUUGCUCAUGCUCGCUCGGUUCCCUAUUUGGCUGAUUGGGGUGAUGCAGAAAUAAAGGCGACACUGAAACUAUUCCAAAAUUCAGUAGGUUACCAGAAUGAGGAGGUCAUCCUUAGCGUAUCCUUUCUUUUAUGUUUGGUUUUUGUUUGUUAUUUUUCAUGUUGAAAUGGAAAACUAAAUUGUGUACUAUGUGCCUGUAAAUAGGUUGAUGUUAAUUUCGUAAUUGACGAGCAAAUACAACCAUUUGUACAAAGCGAGGAAAUGAACAAUAUCAAUGAUGUUCGGAUUUCAAAAAUUGAGACGACUGUUUGUGAUA